rnacentral:tRNA from 1 species
UUUGAAGUAGAUAUAUGUUAGAUUUUCGAUCUUAAGAUGCUUUGGCCUUAG